GUGACGAACAGACCCUCCUCCUGUGAGAUUGAAGGUGCUUUUCGCGCUCUCCAUCCGGAGCAAUAACAGUACCAGCUGGACCUACUUGGGUACUACACCCGCCAACAAAUGAACAACAGCCCUUCUCGACGAACCGUAAUUCAUCCAGGCAAGGAGCUGUCCUACAGAGAACAAGCGGCGAAACUGAUCCAGGACAUGGGACAGCAGCUCAAUGUAUAUCCUUUGUGGAGGGACGAUAUUUACGUCUCAGUUAAGUCUGCAUUAACUUUAUGACUACUUCGUAUCGUUAUACCGGUUAAACUCCAGCUUUUUUGUUAAGGUAAACUGCAUGUUUUUUGAUUCCUUUUAGGGCACUACUUUAUUGUUAACGUGUUUGCGAUAGCUAGCUAAUGUUGUUGGAGAGCGACCGUUAUUAGGCUAUAAGGCUGAAUAACAAUAAUAAUAAUACUAAUACUAACACUAACGUGUAAAAAUAGCAUUGCCUCCUUUAGUAAAAAUGUUUGUGAGACAAAUCUCCUGUCGGACAGUGUGUUAUGCAGUGAACAUGUUUUUAAGUUCAGUAUGUGUCUUGGCUUGUUUUUACGGUUAUAACCGUCAGGUGUCGUUUCUGCCGUUAGCUGCUUCCGGACAGCCCCUGACUAACCUGUGACCUGGGGUUAUUCGACCAGAGACCCCAGAACAGAGCAGAACAUGUCAAGAUGCCGGCAUCAACUGAAAGCAGAAAGGCCACACACAAGAGAGCAGAGCGAUUCAGCAUGAACAGGACGUCCAUUUCACAAAAGGUGGAAGAAGAUGGAAGGCUGAAAAAAAGAAAGGAGAGGUGUUGGAUCUCAACAAGUGCAAGUUCAGCUUGCAAAUAUGAUGUAGAGGCAAAGAAAAUGAGGCGGGAUUAAUGUUUUGGAAAAAUGUAAAUAAUUUCUUGGAGUUUGCUUUUUUUUGUUGAAAAAACAAACAAAUGUUCAAAAUGGUAUUUAUUAUGUUAUGGUUUUGUACACUGCCUCAAAUGACAGUUACCUGUACAUUUUGUAAAAUGAUUGUACUUUAAAAUAAAUGUAUAUUUUUUCUUUUACAUCUACACCCAUUAUAUCUUCUUUUUACUCUGUAUAUCAUUGCACUUCCUAUGGAGAAGCCAAAAACCUGACCUGGUUUAAAGAGUACGGUAAAUAUUUUA